rnacentral:misc_RNA from 1 species
UGACGAACAAAAGCUACCUUCUUGUCAAUACUGGUUUCGUCAUGUCUUGCCUUUUGGGGAGAUUUGCUUCUCACACAGUUUAUCUUUGUGGGUUGCUGCCAAACUUCAUAGACAUCUUUAUAUUCAUUCUCUUCUGGGCAUUGAUGAAAUUCCUGAUGCAUUUCUUCCAUCAAAGAUCCGUUUUCGUGCGGGCAAUAACUGAAAGAGGAAUCAGUAUGAGAUCGAGAAUGACCUCCAAAAUGACUUUGUGUGGCUGAAACAGACUUUCGAGUUGGAAAAGCAUCAAGGCCCAUCAACUUGGCAACAAGACUAGGUGGGUUCUGACUAGAAUCUAUUUCCUUG